rnacentral:rRNA from 1 species
CCUACGGGAGGCAGCAGUGGGGGAUAUUGCACAAUGGGGGAAACCCUGAUGCAGCGACGCCGCGUGGGUGAAGAAGGGCCUCGGCGCGUAAAGCCCUGUUAGCAGGGAAGAAAAUGACGGUACCUGAAGAAGAAGCCCCGGCUAACGACGUGCCAGCAGCCGCGGGAAUACGUAGGGGGCAAGCGUUAUCCGGAUUUACAGGGGGUAAAGGGGGCGGAGACGGCGCUGCAAGCCAGGAGUGAAAGCCCGGGGCCCAACCCCGGGACUGCGCUUGGAACUGCGUGGCUAGAGUGCAGGAGGGGCAGGCGGAAUUCCUGGUGUAGCGGUGAAAUGCUUAGAUAUCACGAG